GUUUGAUUGAUUUUUGACAUAUAAAAAAUAUGUUUAGAUUAAUUUAUAUUUAUCAGUAAAUAAAAUUAUUUUCAAAUCGAAUCAGACUGGCUUUAAUAAAACAACGUCAUUUUGAUUAGAAUGUUGUUUAUAUUGAAGUAUUAAUAUAUUAAAAAAUAAUUUUAGAUUUAUGAUAUUGUUUAUCAAUUUAUUUUUGUGUUGAUUAGUCUUAAACCUUAAGUGACUUAUU
rnacentral:lncRNA from 1 species